rnacentral:snoRNA from 1 species
UUGCCCAAUGAUUAUAGAAAGACGCGUUAUUACGAGGACCAGUGCUGGAACUCUACUUUUAUCUUCCCUCUGCUCUUGCUUUCUCCUUUCUCUCUUCUUUCUUCUACCUUUAUUCCUCCUUUUUCUGGGGUGUCCAGUGUCCUGUGAGCAAGAUUAUGAGAUAUGAGGGCAA